GAAGACAUCCAGUCUUGGUUUGGAAACACCAAGCAAAGAUUAAAAGUCUUCCCCCAGGGCUUCUCACCUUGGUGGCUUCAUCUCAGAAGUUGCUCAGUAGCUGGAUUCUUGUCUGCUUCCCCAGGUGUGGGGUAAGGCCUUACGCUGGAAUACAAGCUAUGGAGCAUAAAGAAUUGAAAACAACUAUUAAAAGAGCAAGUCUGAAGCUGAACAGAAGGAAGUUUGCCACAAUGAAUCACUCAAGAGUCUGUUGUGGGGUCACACAGGCUGGGGGAGUUUUGCAAAGCUGAAGACUGCAGAGGAGC